rnacentral:rRNA from 2 species
GGAUGCGAUCAUACCAGCACUAAAGCACCGGAUACCAUCAGAACUCCGAAGUUAAGCGUGCUUGGCCGAGAGUAGUACUAGGAUGGGUGACCUCUUGGGAAGUCCUCGUGUUGCAUUCC